AUUGAACGCUGGCGGCAGGCCUAACACAUGCAAGUCGAACGAGUGGCGGACGGGUGAGUAAUGUCUGGGGAACUGCCUGAUGGAGGGGGAUAACUACUGGAAACGGUGGCUAAUACCGCAUACCAUCGGAUGUACCCAGAUGGGAUUAGCUAGUAGGUGGGGUAACGGCUCAACUAGGCGACGAUCCCUAGCUGGUCUGAGAGGAUGACCAGCAACACUGGAACUGAGACACGGUCCAGACUCCUACGGGAGGCAGCAGUGGGGAAUAUUGCACAAUGGGCGCAAGCCUGAUGCAGCCAUGCCGCGUGUAUGAAGAAGGCCUUCGGGUUGUAAAGUACUUUCAGCGGGGAGGCGUUACCCGCAGAAGAAGCACCGGCUAACUCCGUGCCAGCCGCCGCGGUAAUAC
rnacentral:rRNA from 1 species